GCGGAAGUAGCUCAAUGGUAGAGUACUUGCCUUCCAAGCAAGUUGUUGCGGGUUCGAGUCCCGUCUUCCGCU
rnacentral:tRNA from 1 species